UACGGAGGGGGCUAGCGUUGUUCGGAAUUACUGGGCGUAAAGCGCACGUAGGCGGCUUUGUAAGUUAGAGGUGAAAGCCCAGGGCUCAACUCUGGAACUGCCUUUAAGACUGCGAGGCUUGAUCACGGGAGAGGUGAGUGGAAUUCCGAGUGUAGAGGUGAAAUUCGUAGAUAUUCGGAAGAACACCAGUGGCGAAGGCGGCUCACUGGCCCGGUACUGACGCUGAGGCGCGACAGCGUGGGGAGCAAACAGG
rnacentral:rRNA from 1 species